GUACGUAGGGGGCAAGGCGUUGUCCGGAUUUAUUGGGCGUAAAGAGCGUGUAGGCGGCUUUACAGGUCCGUUGUGAAAACUCCGAGGCUCAACCUCGAGACGCCGGUGGAAACCGUAAAGCUAGAGUCCGGAAGAGGAGAGUGGGAAUUCCUGGAUGUAGCGGUGAAUGACGCAGAUAUCAGGAGGAACACCCGUGGCGAAGGCGGCUCUCUGGGACGGUACUGACGCUGAGACGCGAAAGCGUGGGGAGCGAACAGG
rnacentral:rRNA from 1 species